rnacentral:rRNA from 1 species
AACGAACGCUGGCGGCAGGCCUAACACAUGCAAGUCGAACGCUCUCUUCGGAGGGAGUGGCAGACGGGUGAGUAACACGUGGGAACCUACCCCUUGGUACGGAAUAACUGAUGGAAACGUUAGCUAAUACCGUAUGAGCGCUGAGGCGGCAAGAUUUAUCGCCAAGGGAUGGGCCCGCGUAGGAUUAGCUAGUUGGUGGGGUAAAGGCCUACCAGGCGACGAUCCUUAGCUGGUCUGAGAGGAUGAUCAGCCACACUGGGACUGAGACACGGCCCAGACUCCUACGGGAGGCAGCAGUGGGGAAUAUUGGACAAUGGGCGGAAGCCUGAUCCAGCCAUGCCGCGUGAGUGAUGAAGGCCUUAGGGUUGUAAAGCUCUUUCACCUGGGAAGAUAAUGACGGUACCAGGAGGAGAAGCCCCGGCUAACUUCGUGCCAGCCGCCGCCGUAAUAC